rnacentral:rRNA from 1 species
GGGAAAACUGAAGAAUUAAUCCGUGAUACUGCUCCCAUGCUGGAAAGCAGGGAGCACGAAACGCUCCGGCGCCACAGGAUGUGGCUGCGGCCGAAUUAGGUAGACGGUGGGGUAACGGCCCACCGUGCCGAUAAUCGGUACGGGUCAUGAGAGUGAGAGCCCGGAGACGGACUCUGAGACACGAGUCCGGGCCCUACGGGGCGCAGCAGGCGCGAAACCUUUACACUGCACGCCAGUGCGAUAAGGGGAUUCCGAGUGCGAGGGCAUACAGUCCUCGCUUUUCUGUACCGUAGGGUGGUACAGGAAUAAGAGCUGGGCAAGACCGGUGCCAGCCGCCGCGGUAAUACCGGCAGCUCAAGUGAUGGCCGAUCUUAUUGGGCCUAAAGCGUCCGUAGCUGGCUGGACAGGUCCAUUGGGAAAUCCACCUGCUCAACAGGUGGGCGUCCAGUGGAAACCGUUCAGCUUGGGACCGGGAGACUUGAGGGGUACGUCCGGGGUAGGAGUGAAAUCCCGUAAUCCUGGACGGACCAUCGGUGGCGAAAGCGCCUCAAGAGAACGGAUCCGACAGUGAGGGACGAAAGCUGGGGUCUCGAACCGGAUUAGAUACCCGGGUAGUCCCAGCCGUAAACGAUGCUCG